GAGUGUGGCUCGACUAAUUUUUGUGUACCCAUGGAUAGAUUCUUAAUCAAUUAUUUCACCAAAUAAUUUUUAGUAUUCAAUUUUGCCCCAGACACCUCUUCAGCAGGCGUGUGGUGCCUCCACUGAAAGUUUUAGUUAGGUCCAACCAUUAACAUGCUAGAAUUUAGUGUAUCUAACAAAUGAGUGAUCAGGCCCGAGUGUGGUUUGGCCAACCUUAUCAUUAUCAAAAAGACACAACUAAAACAACAUAUUAUGAAUGAUAAUUCCAAC
rnacentral:lncRNA from 1 species